rnacentral:rRNA from 1 species
GAUGAACGCUGGCGGCGUGCCUAAUACAUGCAAGUCGAGCGAACGGACGAGAAGCUUGCUUCUCUGAUGUUAGCCGCGGACGGGUGAGUAACACGUGGAUAACCUACCUAUAAGACUGGGAUAACUUCGGGAAACCGGAGCUAAUACCGGAUAAUAUUUUGAACCGCAUGGUUCAAAAGUGAAAGACGGUCUUGCUGUCACUUAUAGAUGGAUCCGCGCUGCAUUAGCUAGUUGGUAAGGUAACGGCUUACCAAGGCAACGAUGCAUAGCCGACCUGAGAGGGUGAUCGGCCACACUGGAACUGAGACACGGUCCAGACUCCUACGGGAGGCAGCAGUAGGGAAUCUUCCGCAAUGGGCGAAAGCCUGACGGAGCAACGCCGCGUGAGUGAUGAAGGUCUUCGGAUCGUAAAACUCUGUUAUUAGGGAAGAACAUAUGUGUAAGUAACUGUGCACAUCUUGACGGUACCUAAUCAGAAAGCCACGGCUAACUACGUG